GGAGGGGCCAGGACAGUCCCGGCCGCGCGGUGGACGGAGGGGCCAUUCCUCGGGGCGUUAGCAAAUGAAUUCCAUCCGAGUCAAUAUCGCCCAGCGAACGGUGUUUCUCUUUAGUCACCCGAGAACGAGAGGCACUUUUAAUUAGAAAUUAAUUAAUGAGCAGCUGCUCCUUCCUGCCCCACUGUAAUCAUUCGUCUCAAUUACAAAUGAGACCUAUGAAUGGACACGCUGAAGAUGUAAUCAACAGUUAAAAUUAGCCCGGCGCUGCGCAGGCUGCCGGCCCGGCCUCGCGCUCGCGCGCUCUGCUCCGAGUGGCAGGAAGGGGCUCGCAGGCGCCCCGCGCGUCUCGUCACUAUUGUUUAUCGGGAAUCUGCAACGCCUCCCUUCGGUUUCCACCCUACGCCGGAAUGGACUUUCAGAACCCACUGCGGCCGCAAGAGAGCCCGCAAGAGCCGGUCAAAAUGUCCUCAGACGAAAAUACGAGUUCUCCGAUCGCGUUGGACCGGAGCGGGCCACGUCCGAGCUGCUUGCAGAGGGAAACCAUCGGAAAUAAUGAAUAGCCGCUCCAUGCAAAUUAUUCAGACAGUUUAGCGUCGGUAGCCGCGAGAAAUAUAUAAAGAACACGAGUCAAACGACAUUAA